rnacentral:rRNA from 1 species
GGUGAACGCUGGCGGCGUGCUUAAGACAUGCAAGUCGAACGGCAGUCUUCGGACUGUAGUGGCGCACGGGUGAGUAACGCGUAACUGACCUACCCCAAAGUCGCGGAUAACGAUUCGAAAGAAUCGCUAAUACGUGAUGUGCUGUCAGAUUGUGUUCUGCCAGUAAAGAUUGACUGCUUUGGGAUGGGGUUGCGUCCCAUCAGCUAGUUGGUGGGGUAAAGGCCCACCAAGGCGACGACGGAUAGCCGGCCUGAGAGGGUGGCCGGCCACAGGUGCACUGAGAAACGGGUCCCACUCCUACGGGAGGCAGCAGUUAGGAAUCUUCCACAAUGGGCGAAAGCCAGAUGGAGCGACGCCGCGUGAGGGAUGAAGGUCUUCGGAUCGUAAACCUCUGAAUCAGGGACGAAAGACACUUCGGUGGGAUGACGGUACCUGAGUAAUAGCACCGGCUAACUCCGUGCCAGCCGCCGCGGUAAAAC